GACGAACGCUGGCGGCGUGCUUAACACACGCAAGUCGAGCGGAAAGGCCCUUUCGGGGGUACUCGAGCGGCGAACGGGUGAGUAACACGUGAGUAAUCUGCCCCUGGCUUUGGGAUAGCCACCGGAAACGGUGAUUAAUACCGUAUACGACCACUUCUCUCAUGGGAUAGUGGUGUAACGUUUUUCGGCCAGGGAUGUGCUCGCGGCCUAUCAGCUUGAUGGUGAGGUAAUGGCUCACCAUGGCUUCGACGGGUAGCCGGCCUGAGAGGGUGACCGGUCACACUGGGACUGAGACACGGCCCAGACUCCUACGGGAGGCAGCAGUGGGGAAUAUUGGACAAUGGGCGGAAGCCUGAUCCAGCAACGCCGCGUGAGGGAUGACGGCCUUCGGGUUGUAAACCUCUUACAGCAGGGACGAAGCGCAAGUGACGGUACCUGCAGAAGAAGCACCGGCCAACUACGUGCCAGCCGCCGCGGUAA
rnacentral:rRNA from 1 species